AGCAGCCGCGGUAAUUCCAGCUCCAAUAGCGUAUAUUAAAGUUGUUGCAGUUAAAAAGCUCGUAGUUGAAUUUCGGGGUCAGUAGGCUGGUCGUGCCACCGGUACGUACUGGUCUCACUGAUUCCUCCUUCCUGAAGAACCGUAAUGCCAUUAAUUUGGUGUUGCGGGGAAACAGGACUGUUACUUUGAAAAAAUUAGAGUGUUUAAAGCAGGCUAACGCUUGAAUACAUUAGCAUGGAAUAAUGAAAUAGGGCGUUCGAACCUAUUUUGUUGGUUUCUAGGAUCAACGUAAUGAUUAAUAGGGAUAGUUGGGGGCAUUAGUAUUCAAUUGUCAGAGGUGAAAUUCUUGGAUUUAUUGAAGACUAACUACUGCGAAAGCAUUUGCCAAGGAUGUUUUCAUUAAUCAAGAACGAAAGUUAGGGGAUCGAAGACGAUCAGAUACCGUCGUAGUCUUAACCAUAAACUAUGCCGACUAGGGAUCGGAUGAAGUUAAUUUUUAAUGACUCAUUCGGCGCCUU
rnacentral:rRNA from 1 species